CAGGAUGAACGCUAGCGGCAGGCUAACACAUGCAAGUCGAGGGGCAGCGGGAUGUAGCAAUACAUUGCCGGCGACCGGCGGAUGGGUGCGUAACGCGUAUGCAACCUACCUUAUACAGGGGAAUAACCUUUCGAAAGGGAGACUAACACCCCAUAGUAUUGAUUUAAGGCAUCUUAGAUUAAUUAAAUAUUUAUAGGUAUAAGAUGGGCAUGCGUAUGAUUAGCUAGUUGGUAAGGUAACGGCUUACCAAGGCGACGAUCAUUAGGGGUUCUGAGAGGAAGGUCCCCCACACUGGUACUGAGACACGGACCAGACUCCUACGGGAGGCAGCAGUGAGGAAUAUUGGCCAAUGGGCGCAAGCCUGAACCAGCCAUGCCGCGUGCAAGGAAGACGGCCUUAUGGGUUGUAAACUGCUUUUACAUAAGACUAACCGUAUAUUUGCGAAUAUACCUGAAUCGUAUUAUGAGUAAUAAGGAUCGGCUAACGUCCGUGCCAGCCGCCGC
rnacentral:rRNA from 1 species